CCUACGGGUGGCAGCAGUGAGGAAUAUUGGUCAAUGGACGAGAGUCUGAACCAGCCAAGUAGCGUGAAGGAUGACUGCCCUACGGGUUGUAAACUUCUUUUAUAUGGGAAUAAAACGUUCCACGUGUGGGCUUUUGUAUGUACCAUAUGAAUAAGGAUCGGCUAACUCCGUGCCAGCAGCCGCGGUAAUACGGAGGAUCCGAGCGUUAUCCGGAUUUAUUGGGGUUAAAGGGAGCGUCGGUGGGUUUUUAAGUCAGUGGUGAAAGUUUGCGGCUCAAACGUAAAAUUGCAGUUGAAACUGGCAGUCUUGAGUGCAGUAGAGGUAGGCGGAAUUCGUGGUGUAGCGGUGAAAUGCUUAGAUAUCACGAAGAACUCCGAUUGCGAAGGCAGUUCACUGGACUGCAACUGACACUGAAGCUCGAAAGUGUGGGUAUCAAACAGGAUUAGAUACCCGGGUAGUC
rnacentral:rRNA from 1 species